UUGAAACCAGGAUUAGAUACCCCGUUACUUUUAUUAUAAAACUUUAGAGGAUUAAUAUUUUUGAAAUUUAACGGAUUUGACGGCAAGAUAGUCCAUUUAGAGGAACCUGUCCUGUAAACGAUGAACCACGAUUCACAUUACUUUUCUUUGUAAACAGUUUGUAUACCGCUGUUGUCAGUUAGUUUUAUGAGAAAACUUUCAAUAAUGAUAAGAUCAUUGACUUCAAGUAAAGGUGCAGCUUAUAGGAAAGCUAGAGAUGGGUUACAAUUUAGAAGAUAAAUACUGAUGGUAAAAUGAAAAUUUACCUGAAGGUGGAUUUAAUAGUAAAGUUAUUGAAAACUUGACUGGAGCACUAACUUGUGUACACAC
rnacentral:rRNA from 1 species